GCUCGGUUUUUAGUGGUUUAUUCCGGUUCGGUUCGGUUGAUAAUAUUAGGCCCAUCGGUGACCGGACCCGACCGAGUCCAAUUUAUAUUUUAUUAUUAUAAUUAUUAUUUAUUAACACUAGCUAGGGUUUGAGGAGACCAACACCAAUUUCUCUCCCUCAUUUUUCUUCUUCCGUGUAGCCGCUCGCCGCCCCCUUCUUCUUUCCUCUGGUGAAAAAACAUAACUACCACCACAAUAUUCUCUAGUUCAAUCAUAAACACAUUCAUCUUCCGCUCAAUCUCUCUUCGUCUCUCAAAAAAAUCAAACCCUAACACCCAAAUUUUAGAAAAAGACCACAAUAUUAAAGGUUGUAUUUGUGAACUGAAAGGAGGUUGCAAGCGGAUGUUUUGAGAGUUUCUAUAAUUUUCUAUCUGAUUAUCAAAGUGAUCUUCUUCAGGUUGCAGAUCGUUGCUUCUAUCUUCUUUAUACUUGUUGUUCUUUCAUAUUGAUGUUCUUGCAUUCCUUCUGGUGUUGCGGGAGGUAUCACUUUUUCUAGUUUAUAGAUUAAGUUUCAUUCACUGAUCCCAAAUCCAUCCACAGAAGAGGAGAAACUUUUUGAAAGGAAAAAGAGGUUAAAGAAGAGGUAUGGAGUUAUUGUUUCAAUAGGCCUUGUUUUUGUUCCUGUCUAACAUUGAAUAGGAAAUUAUCAUGCACCUACUACUUAUUCAUUCAAAGACUGGUGUUAGAUUCUAAUAUAUUUUAGUUAAUUCCUAAUUUGUAUUGGAUUUAGUUUUGUAUUUAUUUUAUUAAAUUUGAUUUAUG